rnacentral:rRNA from 1 species
AAAAGGUGGCUAUGCUACCGCUUUUGGAUGGGCCCGCGGCGCAUUAGCUAGUUGGUGGGGUAAAGGCUUACCAAGGCAAUGAUGCGUAGCCGAACUGAGAGGUUGAUCGGCCACAUUGGGACUGAGACACGGCCCAAACUCCUACGGGAGGCAGCAGUAGGGAAUCUUCCACAAUGGGCGAAAGCCUGAUGGAGCAACGCCGCGUGGGUGAAGAAGGUCUUCGGAUCGUAAAACCCUGUUGUUAGAGAAGAAAGUGCGUGAGAGUAACUGUUCACGUUUCGACGGUAUCUAACCAGAAAGCCACGGCUAACUACGUGCCAGCAGCCGCGGUAAUACGUAGGUGGCAAGCGUUAUCCGGAUUUAUUGGGCGUAAAGGGAACGCAGGCGGUCUUUUAAGUCUGAUGUGAAAGCCUUCGGCUUAACCGGAGUAGUGCAUUGGAAACUGGGAGACUUGAGUGCAGAAGAGGAGAGUGGAACUCCAUGUGUAGCGGUGAAAUGCGUAGAUAUAUGGAAGAACACCAGUGGCGAAAGCGGCUCUCUGGUCUGUAACUGACGCUGAGGUUCGAAAGCGUGGGUAGCAAACAGGAUUAGAUACCCUGGUAGUCCACGCCGUAAACGAUGAAUGCUAAGUGUUGGAGGGUUUCCGCCCUCCA